rnacentral:rRNA from 1 species
GACGAACGCUGGCGGCGUGCUUAACACAUGCAAGUCGAGCGGUAAGGCUCCUUCGGGAGUACACGAGCGGCGAACGGGUGAGUAACACGUGAGUAAUCUGCCCUUCACUUCGGGAUAACCACCGGAAACGGUGGCUAAUACCGAAUACGACCAGUCUUCGCAUGAGGUGCUGGUGGAAAGUCUUUUCGGUGAAGGAUGUGCUCGCGGCCUAUCAGCUUGUUGGUGGGGUAAUGGCCUACCAAGGCUUCGACGGGUAGCCGGCCUGAGAGGGUGACCGGCCACACCGGGACUGAGACACGGCCCAGACUCCUACGGGAGGCAGCAGUGGGGAAUAUUGGACAAUGGGCGAAAGCCUGAUCCGGCAACGCCGCGUGAGGGAUGACGGCCUUCGGGUUGUAAACCUCUUUCAGUACCGACGAAGCGCCCUGUCGGGUGGUGACGGUAGGUACAGAAGAAGGACCGGCCAACUACGUG